rnacentral:rRNA from 1 species
UACGUAGGGUGCGAGCGUUGUCCGGAAUUAUUGGGCGUAAAGAGCUCGUAGGCGGCUCGUCGCGUCGGAUGUGAAAGCCCGGGGCUUAACUCCGGGUCUGCAUUCGAUACGGGCAGGCUAGAGUUCGGUAGGGGGAGAUCGGAAUUCCUGGUGUAGCGGUGAAAUGCGCAGAUAUCAGGAGGAACACCGGUGGCGAAGGCGGAUCUCUGGGCCGAUACUGACGCUGAGGAGCGAAAGCGUGGGGAGCGAACAGG